UACGUAGGGUGCAAGUGUUAAUCGGAAUUACUGGGCGUAAAGUGUGCGCAGGUGGCCGCGCAAGUCGAGUGUGAAAGCCCCGGGCUUAACUUGGGAAUUGCGCUCGAAACUACUUGGCUGGAGUGUGGCAGAGGAAGGUGGAAUUCCACGUGUAGCGGUGAAAUGCGUAGAGAUCUGGAGGAACACCGAUGGCGAAGGCAGCCUUCUGGGCCAACACUGACACUCAUGCACGAAAGCGUGGGGAGCAAACAGG
rnacentral:rRNA from 1 species